AGUAACAUGGCGCAUACAGAAAACCGUCAGGGGGAUUAGUAGUCCCCUGACGGUUUUUUUGCGUUUCAGUCUUAGUGCUACUGC
rnacentral:tRNA from 1 species